rnacentral:siRNA from 1 species
ACGACGAGGUUAUGCAGGAGCUGC